CCCCCAUCCCCCUGGUAAACACUGAACUGUUUUCCUUGACCAUGUGAAGAAAACACACUUUAAAUCCCCACCCUGGAAGUUUUAAAAAAAUGCUGGUUGUGGAUUUUCAAUCCACUGGACUUUUAAAAGAAGCUGUAGAUUCUUUAAGGAAAUGAAUGAGUUUUACGAAAAUUGCAACACAGGGAAUUGGUGGCGGGAAAAACAAAUUGAUUUACACUAGUCUUAAGAGCCUCUUGCCUUGGGAGAGGACUCACCUCAAAUGGGAAAAUAAGACAGACUCAAAGUUUUCCUAUUUUGCAAAAUCUUCCGGGUUAGAGGAAGAAUUUAUUCACAAGGCAGAAUAUCUUUAACGUCUCUCGAAAAUUGCGAGGGGAGAGUGAGCAACUGUCGAGACAGUACAACGUUCAGCGGACAGAAAGAUUCCCCGGGCUCUCACUGCCAGGGAAAGAAGCGACUGGGCGCGAUCCACGUGGCCUGGCCCGAUCGCACGCUCGGCCUCAGAUUGGUCGAGCCUGUCCGGACUGCAGAAAAAAGCGGAAGCGCGCUCUUUGAAACUCGCCGUCGUAACGUCGAUGGACGCAGGCCACUUCCGGCGUAGCCAUGGCGGCUAACGCGACCACUAACCCGUCGCAGCUGCUGCCUCUAGAGCUUGUGGACAAGUGUAUAGGAUCAAGAAUUCACAUUGUGAUGAAGAGUGAUAAGGAAAUUGUUGGCACGCUUCUAGGAUUUGAUGACUUUGUCAAUAUGGUACUGGAAGAUGUCACUGAGUUGUGAGUAGUGUUAAAAAUUAAAGAAUUGGGGUGGGGGUAAUCUCUCGCUUUUUAAUUUAAGGCAGUUUUAGUAUUAUUGAGGCAGUAAAAUGAUGCAUGCAAAAACAUUGUCUGUUGGAAUUACCUUAAAAUAGAAAUUUUAUCUACUGACACUAGUAAUUGGAUUGGAGGGUUAUUACCUCAAUGUAAUUAUUGCUAAACUGGUAGGGAAUUAGUGGAGGCAAAACUUUAAGGUAAAAGAUACUGAAAAACAGCCAAGAAUCUUAGGGCUCAGGUCACAUCAGGGAACUGAUAGUAAGAUCAUUUACUGCUUUUAAUUAAAUUAAUUGCUCUGUAAUUUAUGUAUAAUAUAAAAUGUAGAUGAUGAGUCACUUAUAUUAGUUAUAAAGAUCACAACCAAUAUCUUCACUUUCAGAAUUGAAUUGAAUACAGAUUGGGUUUAAUGGGUAGGAAUCAGUAAUAAGUAAUAGGAAAAAGAAUGAGGGAAGUAAGCAUUUCAUAUUUGAUCUCCUUGGCAAGUUUCAGCUUUUAUGAAGAUCAGCCCUAGUAGAUGUGAAUCUUAGGGCGGUCAGUCCACUCUGUUGCCUUUGGGGAAGAGUAUACAUCACCCAGUGGAUAACCUUUGUCUCUGAAAACUGUUGACCUAAUUGCCUGACCUCACAUUCAUUUAUAUACAAUAAUUAAUCUUUCCAGGGAUCAAAAUGUUGGCUUUGAUUAUCACUGUUUAUCCUGACUCUUUUUUAUCUAUUCAUUUAGUGAAAUCACACCAGAAGGAAGAAGGAUUACUAAAUUAGAUCAGAUUUUGCUAAAUGGCAAUAAUAUAACAAUGGUAAGACAGUAAACCUGAUUUUAUUUAGAUGUUAAACCAUUUUUUGGGUCAGGACUUACAGAACUAACUUGCUGGAUGAAAUGUUCACGGCCCAGUGGUGCCUGAGAUGGGGAAGUGGUGCUCUGGUGGUCAGGCUCUAAAGCUGAGCUGUUGAAGGUGACAUUGGGCCUAAAGAUUAGUUUGUGCUUUUUAGUAUUUCAUUUUAUUUUUUUUAUUGUUGAGACACUAAAUGUUAAUUGAUCGUGUUGGAAUUAUAAACAGCAGUGACAUGGAGAAAAUGGGGAUGUGGAGGAGGGGCUGAGGGGCAGAAGUGGCUUUGGUCAAUGAGGAGCUCUCAGUAAGGGUUUUUAGAGGAUGUAGUGGUGGUGUUAUUAAACUUUUUCCUCCUUUGCAGCUGGUUCCUGGAGGAGAAGGCCCUGAAGUAUGAAUGGAUUUCCUUGACUUAUGCUGGAUUCUGUUUUGUCUUAUAAGGACAACAAAAUAGAAAAUUUUUUUUUAACCUUUUAAUGUUUGGAUUCUAUGAAGCUAAGUUUCCCGUUAAAGGGAAAUGCUUUGAAGAUGCAUUGUAAAUGCCCAUUUUUUAAGUUAAUCAUGAUUGUCUUGGAGAAAGAAGAACAGUUCGUUCUUUGAAGACUAAAAUAAAGGUGUUUUUGGUUAACUGUCAAUUUGUUUAUUAUACUGCAAUAUCCAGUGGAACAAAGCUUGUAGUUAUUUUGUCGCUUGCUUUCCUGUCAUUUUACUCCUAUUUGCUUCCUGAUUUACUUCAUCAUUCGAUUCUCAAACAACAAUUGUUCCAAACAAAAUGAUGAACUUUGCUUUUGAACAGGUGCAUUUAAAAAACCUGUAAUGAUUACUUAGAAAAUUCAGUUCAAACUCUGAUGCUUUGAAAUGAGGACUUUUCCACUGAACUCAAGUCCCAUUAACGCUUAUUAAAAACAAACAAGAAAAAUACCCAGGUAAUGUAUACACAUUAUAGAAGUGAAGAUAAGUCAAAAGGAAAAUAUUCAUCACACUCUGCUGUAUAUCCUUUUAGACUUUCUCAGUACAGUCUUGGUACACAUUUUACUUUUACAAAACUUACUCAUCCCGAAUAUACUGUUUUGUAGCCUCCAUUUAAGACUUUUUGAAUUUGAAUGGUGAACAUCUUUCCAUGUCAAAUAUUUCAGCAACAUUAAUACAGGCAUAGUAUUCCAUUAAGUGGAUUUAUAAUAACUUAUUUAGCUUAUUCUUAUGGGUCACUAAGUCCAACUAAGUCUAUACAUUUUUAUUUUUCUUAGAAUAAGUUCAUAAAUGUGUCAGGUCAAUUCUAUUGUCAUGUUGCCAACAAAAAAUUUGUACCAACCUACACUUCGUUGUUGUUGUUGAGGAAGAUUGGCCCUGAGCUAACAACUGUUGCCAGUCUUCCUCUAUUUUGUAUGUGGGAUGCUGCCACAGCAUGGCUUGAUGAACGGUGUUUAGGUCCAUGCCCGGGAUCCAAACCCAUGAACGCCGGGCCACCAAAGUGGAGUGUGCAAACUUAAGCACUGUGUCACCGGGUUGGCCCCUCAACCUACACUUGCUGGCAGUUUUUCAUAGUACCAUUUACAUGCUUACCAACAUUGGCUAUAUUCUCUCUUCUCCUGUCUUUGCCAUUGUGAUAGGCAAAACCUCACAUGUUAGAAAUUUUCUUUAUUAAUUUUGAACUCAUUUAUAUUUUGUGAAUUAGUUGUGUGAGGCUUUUGCCAUUGAGACGUUUGUGUUUUCCUUACUGAUUUGUUAGAAUUCUUAGUAGGUUACUCUUGAAUUUUGCAGAUAACUCCCCUAGUAUGUAGUUUGCCUGUCAGUGGUACUUUUUUUCACAUAAAUAAUGUAUUUUUGUGUAGUCAUUGGUUGGUCUCCUCUUUUAUGGUUUUUGUCUAUGGUACACAGGUGGUGGAUCAGGAAGACUGUCUUUGCUCUGAUUAUAUGUAUUUUUGGUACUAUAUAUUUUGUUUCAUAUAAAUCUUGAAUCCGUCUUCAAUUUUCGUGUUUCCACGUGAAAAAAGGGCUCAACUUUAUUUUCCAAAAAACAAAGCACUGAUGUAUGGUCUUUUUUGACUUUCAUGGUGUAAGUACUCCUUCUGUGGCUGGUUUCAUGCUGCCAAGGGUAUAACAGCUGGCCUGCAGACUUCCUAAAGAGUGAAGAGUUGGUUCUCAGGAGCCAGUAGGAGCCUGUUACUCCAGCCACUGCCUCUGACCCUUGUUGGGGUGGCAGGGGAAUGCUUUCCCUCCUCUUGUUUCUUUCCCUUUGGAGGGAGGUUAAAUGAUGUAAUGAUACUACACUUUUUCUACCCUUUUACUCAUCCUCUGGGAGCUGGGUAGUCAUGCUCAGCUCUUACUGUUUUUCCAUCUAGGAGUUAGUAGCCUGCAGGGAGCACAUGUUAAUUCCAGCAUGCUAUGAGUUUUAGAGGAGCCUGACCUCACUUAGGGAGGCGUACAGUUACCUAGUCUGUGGCUGGGUGGAUGAGUUCACUCUGGGGUUCAGUAAGAGGAAGUUCACUUGCCUACAGAUAAGCUGUCUCUUAAUCUGGUCUUUAGCAGUAAUAAAGAUGAUGAUAUGACUCUCAUUUGCUUACACUCUUGCCUUCUAUCACAAUUCGUUUAGAUUGGGUACUAUUCUAAAUAAGGGUUUCUUAACCUUGGCACUAUUGACAUUUUUGUCUGGAUAAUUCUUAGUUGUGUGGUCCCUCCUGUGCAUUGUAGAAUGUUUAGCAGCAUCUCUGGCCUCUACCCACAAGACGCCAGUGGCAUCCUUCCUUUUCUUCCCUGCUUCCCCCAGAUAUUGCCAAAUGUCCCUUGAAGGCAAAACAAUCACCUGUGGUUGAGAACAACUGUUCUAAAUAAUAGGGAUGCUAUUUACUGGACCCUCCAAAAUCUAAUAUUUGGUGUAUGGGCGAGGAGCAUUGGAUCUAGACCAUGAGUAAAAAUUAGGGAGAAAAUGCUGCGAUUGAGGAUUCCAGCAGGGUAAUAUGGUUGGUUUAAAGUUGAAAUGAUGUAUUUGGUGCUAACCAUAUAGGGUUUUCACUUUGGCAGGUUGCUGGUGAGUGUCUCUUUAUAGAGGUGGUGUUUCAUUUCCAUAGAGGUAGGGCUGUAUGUGCUGGGCCCUAAAGCGAAAGUGUGGCCUCCGGAAAAGUGAGACCAGAAAAGGCGGAAGCUAUGCUGGCAUUGGUGACUUGAUCAGUUUUUCUCAAACUUUGGUUUGAAAACUGGUAUCAGAAUCACUUGGAGAGCUACUAAAGAAUGCAGAGGCCCAGGCCCACUGAAGUAGGAUAGGGCCUCCGGCCUUUGUAUUUUUAGCAACUUGCCCAGUUCCCCAGGUAAUUCUGUUCCUUACCAAAGCCCUAGACCCACCACACUGGAGUGUAGGCUACUGCAGGUGUAGCUUUUUAAAGCAGGUAUGACUGAAGCAAGGAUUUGAUAAUAGACAUGUGAAUCUCUGUAUAGAUAUUUUAUACAUUAGUGGAUGGAACUGUAUUUGCCACAUUUAAACUGCAAGGCAGCUAAGUUCUGUGUGUGCUGUAGAGCACUAGUGGAGUUCUAGUUUGAAUUGUUAGUGCCAGGCCUUGGCAGGCAGUGAUGCAUCUCCUGCCCCAAGAGCCAGCCUUCGGUGUGGAACAACGAGGGACCCGUUGUGGGGCAACGUUGGAUUCACAUGGCUUGUCCUUAGGCUUGAGAGUCACUUCCCAUCAGUGCAGUCUCAGUUUUGUUCUCGAGGGUUGAUUUGUUGAUUAUACAAAGUGUAGUCGUGUCUUUAGAUUUCAGGGUCCAAAAUUGCACCUUCACCCCUAGAGAUGAGGUGGGAUUUUGCCAGUAGAGAAAAAAAUGUGAGCCCUUAUUGUAGAGAGAAUAUGCCAUCUUCUAGAAUUGAAGGUGAGAAAAAUUUCAGUGAAAUUAUUGUAAACCAAGGGAGGAAGGCCUGUGCUCGGGGCAUUUUAUUUUUCAAGUUUUAUUUUGUAGCGGUUUCACAUUUAAUGAAGAAAAGUUGCAAGAAUAUCAGAAAGAGCUCUUACAUACCCUCACAGAGACCCCACUCAAGUUUUUUGCCCCAGCAAUGUCCACAGCGAAAGGAUCCAGUCCUGGGUCAUGCGCUGUACUCAGUUGUCAUGUGUUUCUAGUCUCCUUCAAUCUGGAAGAGUUCUUCAGUCUUCCCUUGACCUUCAUGACCCCAGAAUUUCUGAAGAUUGCAGACUAGCCAUUGUAGAGUGUCCUUCAAUUUGGGUUUGCUUGAUGUUUCCCCGUGAGUAGGCCCCAGGUUUAUCGCAGGAGUAAAGCUAUUCUUCCCAAUGAGUCUCAUCGGGUGGCACAUAAUAUCGACGAGUUCCAUUUCUGAUGGUGUUAACUUUGAGCUUUGAUGGGUGAUGUUCAGCAGCAGUUUCUGUUCAGGAGUCUGCUGGUGUGAUUGUUCAGUUGAAACAAAUGUAGAAAGGGGAGAAGUCUUACCCAGGAAAGAGAUUGCCAGAGUUAAGCCACUUCAUCAGCAACAAAAGCAGAAACCAUGCAGCAGGACUAGACUAAUAUUCCUGUUGUUGAGUGAGGCCGUGUCACUGGACAAAGCCCACCUUAAUGCAGCACUAAGGUACCCAAAACUCAAACUCAUUUCCAAGGGUACAUAGAAAUUGGGAGGUUUAAAAUAUGUUGGAUGAGGAAGACAGGCUGUCUCAAAUAAGACCUGGUCUGUACCUGUGCAAAUUUCUCAACUCUGCAAGAAAAGCAAUGUUAUUGCGUAUGCCAGUUGCUGAGAAAGAGAGGAGACUGUUUUCAUAGAUGGAAUUUCCCCCAGAUGUGGGCAACAUAGUGCCAUAAUUAGCCUCUUAAGGUAACUAACCAACUGAAUUAAAUAAGCAAUCCAGUUGAAGUUCUAAAGUCAUGGUCUCUGCCAUCGUCCUGAGCACUGCUAAGUUUUAUGUUAUAAGGGUAUAAUUUUACCUAGGAGAACCUUUUUAGGAGCUGUUGGGUGCACAACUGCAUGAAUAUGCUGAACACCACUGAACUGUAUGUUUUAAAACAGUGGAUUUUAUGGUACAUGAAUUAUAUCUCAACUUUUAAAAAAGCAAGACCUACUUGAAUCAUAUCUAAUGUAACUUCUAAGGCUUUAAAAGAAAUACUGGCUGUGGCUGUUGAAAGGACCCUGCCCUCACCCAAGCGUCAAAGCCCCCUCUGGUUAAGAUUGAACACAAGAAUUUGGGGAAGGUUGUUUUUGAUCUGGACUUUGGUCUUUUAACUCACAAAGACACGGAACUUUAGUUUUGGAUUUUAAUUGUAGUGGUCUUUAACAUUUUGGAUUUUUAUUUGCAAGAUUUAAUUUGUGAACCUUGAUUUCUCUCUGUAAAUUUAAUUAUGGGAGGGGAUGGUAUUUAAAUUUGGGUGUCUCUAAGUUGUUGGCGUUUUAUUGUCUAAACUUCUUUUGGCUUUGUUGACUUCUACUCAGACUUUAAGAGUAGGUUCUACCACUUCUCAAUGCUUCUGCAUGACAGAUCAUGGAGACCUCAGGGUGCUUUUCCAUAAUACUGUCUUGAAUAGCUGCUCCCUUCUAAAGAGAAUAGCCCCAAACAGUUCAUGCUGUGCAAAGUUCUGGUUUCCAGGGAAACAAAUCCUGUUACACUGUUGGACCAGAAACUAGAGUCUGGGCCGUCACUACCACCACGAGCGCCACCAUCAUCUGAAUAGCUUUUAUUUUUUAAUUCUAUAAACUGAUGUUAGGGAUAUUCAAGGAUCUGGUUCUUGAGUUUUUGUGAACAUGUGUUUUAUUAUCAAUGAAUUAAUGAUUUAAUCAAUACAAAUGUAGAAACAAAUGAAGAAAAAGACACUCAAAUACAGACCAAUGGUGAAGACUCGUGACAUAGGAGUCAUGGAUGAUGAAAGUACAUGUCUGAAACUCUGAGGUCCAGCAUGAAGUAUUAGUCUUAGUAUUAGCAAGGAAUUAAUCUAUUCCUUCUAUUGAAACUUUCUACAGAGAGACGCUAGGAGUAUUCAAAGAUCAUAUUCUUGUAUUGAUUUUAUAAAUAUAGAUUUGUUAUGAAUUGAAUAAUGAUAGAAC
rnacentral:lncRNA from 1 species